ACUACAUCUUCAGCAGAGUCUGAAAUGUAGU
rfam:Homo sapiens chromosome 20, GRCh38 reference primary assembly.